UUCUCAUAAAAAUUAUUCUAUUCUAUUUCUCAUUUUUUCGGUGGAUUGUAGUUUGCUACAACUAAUAUGUUGAUUUUAUUAAUACAUUUCACAUUCAACAGCUACAAUAUUUGACAAGGAAAAAUAUCAAUACACUGGUAGUUGGCUGGUUGAAUAAAAAUAUUUUCUCUCUUUAUGUGCAUUGGCGAUGAGAUUUUUGUAUCGUACGGUUGGAUUAUUUGUUCAAGAUCAAUUUAUCGCUGUAAUAUUCGCGCUUCUAAAAUUUUAAUAAAAUAAUUUAAAAAAGGUGAAAAAUAAAUUAGAAAUGAAAAUUAACUGGUAUUUAAUUUAAAGUAAAAUAAUAAAAUUUAAUUUUCUCAAAAAUUAACAAUAAAAAACAUUUAUUCAUUCACAAUAUUUAAAACUAGUGCUCCAGAAAUAUUUUAAUAUCAAAACCAAUAAUAUUAUGUGUAAAAGAGUGUUUAUAAAAUAAGAAAAACCAAAAGAAAAAUUGCAUUUUUUAAUAAUUUCAAAUAUUUUAAAAUUUUUAUAUUGCAUGUGUAAUAUUGUCAAUUUUAAGUGACAUUCUAUAAAAUAUUAUAAGUUCUUUCUAUAAUAAAAUCUAAUAUUAUAAUUUUCAAUAAAGUAAAAAUUAUAAUUCUUAAAAUACGCACACAUUUAAUAAUUCACCCGUCCUGUGUGCAUAAGAGAGAAUGUGUGUGUGUGUGUGUGUUUAAUACCACAUUAAAAGAAUUAUUAAUAAAAUUAAAAAGCGAUAAAUUGUAGAUAGAAUACAAAGCUCCAAAAACCACAUAGCACAACUACAAUAAUAUAAGCAGCAACAACUAUAUCUUUGCAAUAAAAAUAAAAAAUAUCCAGACAUUUGGGAUUUAUGUAUGAUUGUAAUGUAAUAAUAUAAGCAACUACUGAAGAGCAACAAAACAACAAAACCAAAUUUGGAAAUUUUAAUAAUAAAAAACAAUUAUUGAAAUAUUAAAGAUAUAAUUAAAUUUAUUUUGUUUUUGGAUUCAAAUAUAUUAAAUUUUUCGGUUUAAUUAAAUAUAUCAUACUAUUGCUUUAAAAUUUAACAGUAAAUACAAAAUAUUUCAAUGGAUGUUAACAAAAAUUUUGGUUAAAUCGAAUAUCGCAUGAAUAAAAUAUUUAAAGUAUAAUGUAUGUAGUUCUCUAAUAAAUUUUGAGGCAUGAAAAACUACAAAGCAACAAGAAAUAAUCAUUAACAUAAAAACAAGAAAAAAAAACAGCCAGCUGGUUAAUUUUUGUUCAAAGAUAGCCAAAACAAAAUAUGUAUCUGUGUAUGUGUGUGCAUGUAAUUUUUUAGUAUUAAGGCUUACGCAUGUCGCUUUACAUAUAUAAAUAGCAACAAUAAAUAUUAAACUUGCAACAAAAUUUGUAAUAACAAAACAAAAACAAAAAAAUUAUAAAGUGAAAUAAAAGCGGCGCUACAAAAAUAUUUUUUUAUUCAAUUUUGUUUGCUAUAAGAAAAAUUAACAAAGAAAUUACAAAAAUACAUAUUUUAAUAUUUUAUUUUUAAUAUUAUAAUCUACUAUUUGUAUACAAUGAUAUAAUAUUGCAAAAAAAAAUAAAUAAGAAAAAUUUUAUUCGGCCUUUUGGUUCUAAGUGAUAUAAGAGAGCACAAGUGUUAUAUUUAUGACCAAUAACUUAAAUUUUAUAUGCAUCAACAAAACAAAAAUAAAUCAGUUGUUCUCUUAAUACUUGUUUCUUAUAUACACAAACACACAAUAUACAAGUAGAACACAAUCGUUAACAAAAAAACUCUUGUUCUCUUCAAGUGUAGAAUACCAUUUAAGUAUUUCAACAAAUUCUGAUAGCUACAAGGAAAAUAUUAAAAAACAAAACGCUUCAAGAAAAAAAAAACAA